rnacentral:rRNA from 1 species
UACGGGGGGGGCAAGCGUUGUUCGGAAUUACUGGGCGUAAAGAGCUCGUAGGUGGUUUGUCGCGUUGUUCGUGAAAACUCACAGCUCAACUGUGGGCGUGCGGGCGAUACGGGCAGACUGGAGUACUGCAGGGGAGACUGGAAUUCCUGGUGUAGCGGUGGAAUGCGCAGAUAUCAGGAGGAACACCGGUGGCGAAGGCGGGUCUCUGGGCAACAACUGACGCUGAGGAGCGAAAGCGUGGGGAGCGAACAGG